rnacentral:ncRNA from 1 species
ACAUAGUAUGGUGCUUCUAAUAAAGAUAGAAGGUAAAAGGGAAUAUGGUGAAAAUCCAUAGCAGCCCCCACUACUGUGAUAGAUGAUGAAAGCCAAAGGAGGUUACCAUUGAGCUUUUAAUAGCUUGAGAAGGAUUUUGGUGAGUAGGAUGAUUCUUAAGUCAGGAAACCUGCCAUAACUUCA